rnacentral:misc_RNA from 1 species
CUUCUUGUUUUGCAUUAUCAUAAAGAAAAUAUUGCAGCAACUAUACCAACUCCAAGAAGCAUCACAUGAUAAUGCGCAGAACUUACUGCACCAGACGUAUUCACAGUAGUAGAAACAACUGGAGUCUCAGCUACAGGAGUCUCCUUCUUGGGCUUUCUCUGGGGCUGGUCCUGGUGCAGGAGAUGGAGGCUUAGGAGUAAAUAUGUCCAUAGGAAGC